CAAGAAGAAAUGGUUUAAAAGUUAUGCUGCUCAGUCGUAAUCAGGCAGAGAUUAGAUUUAUAUCUAUCUUCAUGAUAGUGAAAAUAAUAUUCCAAGUCAGUAUAAUCAGUGUAAAAGUGACUGCUGAGCCUUUCGAAAUAAUUAUAUUUUGUUGUGUAUUCACGAUAAUAACAUUAGGCUAUUUGUUUUAUUCAUAAUGAAAAAAUUUAGAUGAUCGCGUAGUGACUGUGAAAAAAAGUUUUAUUUUUCUAUUAUAUAAUAAUCGUUGACACUAAUUAGAUUAAAUUGAAUUAUAUUUAAAUUUGCGAAUAUAUGUGAAGUGUCUUUUAAGGGGACAACUAAAAUAUUUAUUCCCGGAUACAUCUUUUACAAAGUGGUGAAACAGAUUUUUUCACUUUCUAGGUCUGACUUACUUGAUCGUAUAAUAGAUAAACGGGAACAAGAUAGACAAACGGUUGAAUUCAACAAUACGUAAGUUUAAUUUAUCUUAUCAAACUUUUUAUUGUUUACAAUAUCCUUCGUAAAAAUAUUUUGUUAUAUAUCAUAAAAAUACAUGGCAAAGAAAUUUUUUACAAUAAUUGUGAUAGAAAGAAAAUAAAAAGAUAUUUCUUACACUAAAUACAGAGUUCUUAAACAUUAUUUAGUGUGAAGUAUAUAAACAGAGUUUUGGAUCUUAUAAUUUUCGUAUACUCGGUAAUUGAACGAGAAGGAGAUGAUAAAGCAUGUAUAAAAUAUAGACUAGUUUCCGAUAAAAUAAAUUAUUAUCAUUUUAAGUAAUUAGAUUUUAUAGGUACAAUUAGAUACAUUAACUAAGGCACGUUCUCUUUACAUGUAUAA